AUGGAGUAGCCAUUCUUCUGUUCCUUUACUUUCCUAAUCAACUUGCUUUCAGUUUACAGACUCACCCUGAAUUAUUCUUGCGUAAGAUCUAAGAACCCUCUCUUGGGGUCUGGAUCAGGACUCCUUUCCUGUAACACACCUAUGUUCUUGGACUUAAGAAUGACCCUCAGACAUGGUGACUUCUUGGUCAUCUAACAGCUUUGGCUUAUUUGAGUGUGCCCGAGCACGUGUGGGAAGCGGGCGUGCACCGAGAACAACGAGUGCUGCCACCCCGAGUGCCUGGGCAGCUGCAGCGCGCCUGACAACGACACGGCCUGUGUAGCUUGCCGCCACUACUACUAUGCCGGUGUCUGUGUGCCUGCCUGCCCGCCCAACACCUACAGGUUUGAGGGCUGGCGCUGUGUGGACCGUGACUUCUGCGCCAACAUCCUCAGCGCCGAGAGCAGCGACUCCGAGGGGUUUGUGAUCCACGACGGCGAGUGCAUGCAGGAGUGCCCCUCGGGCUUCAUCCGCAACGGCAGCCAGAGCAUGUACUGCAUCCCUUGUGAAGGUCCUUGCCCGAAGGUCUGUGAGGAAGAAAAGAAAACAAAGACCAUUGAUUCUGUUACUUCUGCUCAGAUGCUCCAAGGAUGCACCAUCUUCAAGGGCAAUUUGCUC
rnacentral:sRNA from 1 species